rnacentral:rRNA from 1 species
UACGUAGGGGGCAAGCGUUGUCCGGAAUCAUUGGGCGUAAAGAGCGCGUAGGCGGCCCUGUAAGUCCGCUGUGAAAGUCAAGGGCUCAACCCUUGAAUGCCGGUGGAUACUGCAGGGCUAGAGUCCGGAAGAGGCGAGUGGAAUUCCUGGUGUAGCGGUGAAAUGCGCAGAUAUCAGGAGGAACACCAGUGGCGAAGGCGGCAUCCUGGCCCUGUCCUGACGCUCAGGGGCGAAAGCGUGGGGAGCAAACCGG